UGCGAGAAUGUCGCGCGGAAGCAUUGAGGAAAAGCGUGGAAAUAGAUUUUGUGAACCUACUCGUUUUCCUCGAUCGAAAUUUUAAUCAGAGCGUAAAUAAUUUUGCUAAAUAUUCGCACCUGUUUACCCAACAGCCGAUAAGAACAUCUUCCUUGACAAAUAAAUCUCAAGGCAGGGACAACGCUUAUCAUUUAUCACUACGUGUAUAAAUUACACCGGAUAGGAUGUACAAAAAUGUCGAUAGUUUAUCGACCUGUUGGUCAAAGGCAUCGAAAAAAUGCUACGCAUAAAAUCCAGAGAUGUUCAUCACAAGCGCGAUAGCCAUAUUUCUAAUUUUAAAAGAAAUAUCCGCAGGAAACGGUGACGAUUUUACAGGACCGCCAUGUCAUGGUGGCAUUUUUAAAUCACUAAACAUCAGGUCGUUUGUAGAUCGCCACAGACAAAUUCGUUUAAACGUUUCCUGGGACCAGC